GGGCCGUUAGCUCAGUUGGUUAGAGCAGGGAACUCAUAAUUCUCCAGUCGCGGGUUCAAGUCCCGCACGGCCUA
rnacentral:tRNA from 3 species